rnacentral:rRNA from 1 species
ACUGGGCGUAAAGAGCUCGUAGGUGGUUUGUCGCGUUGUUCGUGAAAUCUCACGGCUUAACUGUGAGCGUGCGGGCGAUACGGGCAGACUUGAGUACUGCAGGGGAGACUGGAAUUCCUGGUGUAGCGGUGGAAUGCGCAGAUAUCAGGAGGAACACCGGUGGCGAAGGCGGGUCUCUGGGCAGUAACUGACGCUGAGGAGCGAAAGCGUGGGGAGCGAACAGGAUUAGAUACCCUGGUAGUCCACGCCGUAAACGGUGGGUACUAGGUGUGGGUUUCCUUCCUUGGGAUCCGUGCCGUAGCUAACGCAUUAAGUACCCCGCCUGGGGAGUACGGCCGCAAGGCUAAAACUCAAAGAAAUUGACGGGGGCCCGCACAAGCGGCGGAGCAUGUGGAUUAAUUCGAUGCAACGCGAAGAACCUUACCUGGGUUUGACAUGCACAGGACGCCGGCAGAGAUGUCGGUUCCCUUGUGGCCUGUGUGCAGGUGGUGCAUGGCUGUCGUCAGCUCGUGUCGUGAGAUGUUGGGUUAAGUCCCGCAACGAGCGCAACCCUUGUCUCAUGUUGCCAGCGGGUAAUGCCGGGGACUCGUGAGAGGCUGCCGGGGUCAACUCGGAGGAAGGUGGGGAUGACGUCAAGUCAUCAUGCCCCUUAUGUCCAGGGCUUCACACAUGCUACAAUGGCCGGUACAAAGGGCUGCGAUGCCGCGAGGUUAAGCGAAUCCUUUUAAAGCCGGUCUCAGUUCGGAUCGGGGUCUGCAACUCGACCCCGUGAAGUCGGAGUCG